CCAAUAUAUUCAGGAGUUCCCUCCUCCCCAACAGUCGAUACAGCUGUAAGUGUGUAGCCACACCUGGGGCUCGGUCCAUCCCCAUUCUUCUCAGUUAUCACAUUUACCACCGUAUAGGUCGGUGCACAGCGUGGCCCAGCCACCACCUGUUCACUACCAUCAAUACCACCACUAUUACUAUAAUUAAUAAUAUCAUUAUCAUUAUUCUGUUGUUGCUGUUGCUGAGGAACGGGAGAUUGCGAUUCAGUGGGCUGGUCCGAACCGUUGGCAGAUGUGGGCUGGUCUGAUGGAUCACGAUCAACUUCGGUGGUCAUAGUCGAAUCCACGUCCAUUUUUUACCAAAAAACCCAAAUUUUCGAAGUUCUAGAAUAUGACCAGAGCUUAAAUUCUCAACAAUUCGCAUUUUCAAUCGUCAUUUAGCAAAAGCUCUAGCUCCUGAUCGUUCAAAUUCGCAACAUCAUUACUCCAAAAGAAAGGAUUUUUUUUUUCCAAACUUUUCUUCUUUCUCUCGUAGUGCGAAGAAUACAACCGGUGCAGCCAAUCCAGACAAGGUUCUUCUCUCUCUAACCCAAAAUUUCUCUUUCUAUAUAUGCGUGCAUGUAUCUGAAAAAAAUGAGAAAAUGGAUUUUUUUUGUCCGAACUUUUCUUCUUUCUCUCGUCGUGCGAAGAAAACAACCGGUACAGCCAAUCCAGACAAAGUUCUCUCUCAAACCCAAAUUUUUCUCUUUCUAUAUAUGCGUGGAUGUAUCUGGAAAAAAAAUGAGAAAAAAGGAAGAAAAAACGAAAUUGUUCUUUAUCCAGGAUUUUCAAUUGAGUCAAUUUAGGGAAAAUAUUUCUGAUUUAUCCUCCAUCAAAAUGCUCGAGUCCUCAGAUUUUCAACCAAUUGAAAGAGAUAGACUCGUAAUUCUUAUUGCUAAGGAUCUGUUUUAUUAUUAUUAUUAUUAUUUAUUAUUAUUAUUAUUUUUUUAGAAAAAUUCAUAUCUCAGGCGUAUUCUUUACACCAUUUCAAAAAUCAGGUAAGAAAUUUAAAAAAUUAAAAUUCAGACUUGUAUUUAAUUAAUUAAAAAUAUUUAUUAAAUAAAUAUAUUGUCAUAGUUAAACAAUUAAUGGUUACAAAUUUAUUUAUUGGUCACUUAUCAUCAAAUUAAUUGGUCACAAAUUUAUUCACUGGCCACAUAUAAAAUUUUUUAUAGGUUACAAAUUAUUUCGAGGUCACAGAUUAAAAAUUUUAGAGGUCACAGAUUAUCAAAUUUCAAGGUCACAGAUUAAUUUUUUAGUCACAUAUCGUCAAAUUUUAAUAUCACAUGCCAAAUCGUUGAUCACAUAUACCAAAUACUCCACUGUCAAACUCAAUCCAUCAUCGAUGCUUGGUUAUAGAGCAACCAAAUGGUCACCACCACCACCAAUAAUGUCGCCAUCACUAGAUCCAACACAUUGCCAACAAAAAUUACCCGUAAAAUUCACCUGCCUUUCUCAAAAUAAUUAUUUACAGAUUCAAACAGUAAACUUAAUUAAAACAAAAUUCAAAAUACGUAUUUACACUUACCAAUUUCCAGUGCCGACUGUGAGUAUUGUUUCUUUCUUGAACCUUUGAUAAUUUUGGGAGAUUUCAAUAUUUUAGCAGAUGGAAGGAAAAAAUUCUUUUUUACUGUAUUGGAGAAACUGAUAAACCAAAACUGAUUUUGAAAUUUACGUAUGGAAGUAACAGAAUUUAUUUAAACUAUUAAGGAUAUUAUUGUCUUUUAAACAUUUGAUAUACUUUUGUAAUUAUUAGAUAUGAAUAAGGGUAGAAUUGUCUUUUUAAUGGCAAUAGGCCAAUGUGGUGAAUACAAGAAAAAAAUGAUCAAAAUGAAAAUUUGAUUGUUUGACCAAGCUAUUUUAAAAAGUGCCCCCUGAUAUUGGCUAGUGUAUUUUCUAUUGUUCAUUGUCUUCAUUAAAGGAAAUUCUAGUGAUGAAAAGAAAAUUGUAAAUUGAAAAGAACCCGAGGAGUACAAGAAAUUCAUUCCCACCCAGAAAGAAAGAGAUAACUUGCGUAUAUUAACGAUUCUGUGUGCCUCACUCUGUAUAUUCUCCCUCUCCCUUUAACAACAUCACUCCUCGACGCAAAGAACUUAAAUUAAAAUUCCCCACCCUGAAAAAAGUAAUCUUGAUUACAGUUGAAUGGUGCAAACAUAUGAACUGAAUAUUGAAUUGUAGAGAGAAAUAUUGAUGGGAUGGGUGCUCAGAAAAGCAUUCUUGCGGGCAACGGUAAGCAGCACUUUUUUCUCCUUUAUGGGCCAUUCCAAUCCUUCGGUUAUGAAUUACGAUUUGUUUUCAAGAUUUUUUUCGUAAGCUCAUUUGUGUGUGUGGUGCUUAUGAUGAUUGAGAAUAGAAAGUGAGGACUGAUAUUGUUUUAAACUGUCUAUUGGGUGUGAAAUUGUGCUUGUGUGCAGCCAAGAUAGACUUCAAUGUUGAUUUCACCCACAAAUUAUGUGCUGCUUUUAUGUUCAACCCUUUCAGGUUUCUUCUUCACAUUCUCUAACUUUGUGUACAAAUGCAAGCGUUUAAUUACUUAUCCCAAUUUUUCUCAUAUAUUUUUCUAAAACAGGAACAGUGGAAGUCCAUUAUCACUAGUUGUUGGAAGGUGAGCUACUUAUUGUUAAUUUUUUUUGCUAAUUCGAGGUGGGCUAAAAUGUGUUGGAAGUGAGUUUUGGGGGGUAAUGGUUGAUUGCAUAAUUUUUUCACAUCUUGGCAGUCUUUGUAUAAAGCACCCAAAUUUAUUUGGUAAGAAUGAGAAGCUUGAUGUGCUGUGGGAUAAAGGGCUUUGUGAUUCCAAUGUCUUGAUUACUUGCCGAAAGACAAGACCAGAAUGGCUAUCACAACAAACUUUUGUUAUUCAGGUUUGCUCUAUAAUUAGUGGUUGUUAAUGAGGUUUCUGAAUGCCCUUUUGAUAUUUGCUAAAAUCAUGCUUUGUGAACUUAUGUACAUCAUUUCACCAAACUGAUUAGUAUUUAAAAUGAAGGUAAGAUUUUCUGAAUGUUCAUAUCAAGAGUAGCUCUGCUGUUAUCGUUCAAUGAUUUUUUUUUUCUGCAGAGUAAUUUAAAGCACAUAACCAAAUUACAACAAUUUUAAACUAAUAAAAGCAAAGAGUAGACCAGAAAAUUGAGUAGAGAAUCUAAACAGAAGUGAUCAACUUAAGCGUACCGAGACCAUUUAUUCGUCAAGACAUCAUAAGAAUGGGCAUCAGCAGUGGCCCCAGCCAACCCUACAACAGAUACACAGUAAAUAUCGUGCAGCUAUUUAACGUGUUACUCCAUCAAAACAAAUUAGAUCAUAUUUCCUCUACAAGAGUCUCUUUCAAAUCUCCAAGUGAUAGCAAACUAAUGUUUGCUUUAUCAUUUUUGAUGUUGACAAAUUUGUAAAGACAUGCGAUAAAGCAAACUUUCAAAAUAGUAACUAGACUAGUUAAGCUCAAAGGAAGAAGUGUUGACCGCUAAAAGACUAGAUGUUCAUAACACAAACGCAAUAGAAACAUCGUAUUAGAUGGAUGUGUCCAAAGUAUAAUGAAUAAAAUAAUAAAUGAGAAUGUGCACAUCGGUUGAGGAUCUUGAGACUUAGAAAAUCUCAUUCUUAAGAGAGGUGUGAUCUCGACAAAGAGGUUAGAAGAGAAGGGGAAACAAAAGACAACAUAGCCUAAUAUAAUUGCAAACUAUUUAACUGUAUUGGACCUUUAAGUAGUAGUACUGUGAAUUGAAUGAAAUAUCAAUAAGUAUUUAUGUAUGCAACCCAAAUUUAUUGUGAAUAGAACUUUGAAGCUUCUCACAAAUUUGAAUAGGAAAUCUAUGUUUUAUCUCUGACUUCAAUAACAAUGGAAAAUAAGUUAAUGACAUUAUUUAGUACGGCUGAAUACAUAAUAUCUCUUCGAAAUAUAGAACUCCAACAAGCAUAUAGAAAGUGAAAUCAGAAUUAUCAAACUUCUAUGCAGCUAAGAUACUCAGACUAUAGUGGCAAAUAUACUGGCUAUCUCCAUCUCUACCGUUUCUUCAUAUAUAUAACCACAAUAUACCUCAUUUGAACUCCAACUCAACCUCAUAUUAUUAUACUAACACCCCCAACCCAAAAAACUGCAAGCAGCGGUAAGGCCAAGUAUUUGAGCAAAUUUUUGGUAUUUCAGUUUCUUGAAUAUAAACCAGAAGGUAAGCAGAAAUGCAGCUCCAAUCAACUAAGUGAAGCAAUGUUUACACAACUAUAAUUAGCUGUAUUUAAAUUUAUGAAGAAAACAUACGAAUUCCGGCACUUCCAGCCGAGGAAAGAGUUCCAGAGGCAGCAGAAUUUCCUUCAAGUGCUGUGGCACCACCGAACAGAAUUAAUCUCGGGCCAAUAUAUUCAGGAGUUCCCUCCUCCCCAACAGUCGAUACAGCUGUAAGUGUGUAGCCACACCUGGGGCUCGGUCCAUCCCCAUUCUUCUCAGUUAUCACAUUUACCACCGUAUAGGUCGGUGCACAGCGUGGCCCAGCCACCACCUGUUCACUACCAUCAAUACCACCACUAUUACUAUAAUUAAUAAUAUCAUUAUCAUUAUUCUGUUGUUGCUGUUGCUGAGGAACGGGAGAUUGCGAUUCAGUGGGCUGGUCCGAAC
rnacentral:lncRNA from 1 species